rnacentral:rRNA from 1 species
GGGGCUAGUGUUAUUCGGAAUUACUAGGCGUAAAGGGCACGUAGGCGGUGAAUCCGGUUGAAAGUGAAAGUCGCCAGCUCAACUGGCGGAAUGCUUUCAAAACCAAUUCACUUGAGUAAGAUAGAGGAUAGUGGAAUUUCGUGUGUAGAGAUAAAAUUCACAGAUAUACGAAGGAACACCAAAAGCGAAGGCAGCUUUCUGGGUCUCUACUGACGCUGAGGUGCGAAAGCAUAGGGAGCAAACAGG